rnacentral:rRNA from 1 species
CACGUGGAUAACCUACCUAUAAGACUGGGAUAACUUCGGGAAACCGGAGCUAAUACCGGAUAAUAUUUUGAACCGCAUGGUUCAAAAGUGAAAGACGGUCUUGCUGUCACUUAUAGAUGGAUCCGCGCUGCAUUAGCUAGUUGGUAAGGUAACGGCUUACCAAGGCAACGAUGCAUAGCCGACCUGAGAGGGUGAUCGGCCACACUGGAACUGAGACACGGUCCAGACUCCUACGGGAGGCAGCAGUAGGGAAUCUUCCGCAAUGGGCGAAAGCCUGACGGAGCAACGCCGCGUGAGUGAUGAAGGUCUUCGGAUCGUAAAACUCUGUUAUUAGGGAAGAACAUAUGUGUAAGUAACUGUGCACAUCUUGACGGUACCUAAUCAGAAAGCCACGGCUAACUACGUGCCAGCAGCCGCGGUAAUACGUAGGUGGCAAGCGUUAUCCGGAAUUAUUGGGCGUAAAGCGCGCGUAGGCGGUUUUUUAAGUCUGAUGUGAAAGCCCACGGCUCAACCGUGGAGGGUCAUUGGAAACUGGAAAACUUGAGUGCAGAAGAGGAAAGUGGAAUUCCAUGUGUAGCGGUGAAAUGCGCAGAGAUAUGGAGGAACACCAGUGGCGAAGGCGACUUUCUGGUCUGUAACUGACGCUGAUGUGCGAAAGCGUGGGGAUCAAACAGGAUUAGAUACCCUGGUAGUCCACGCCGUAAACGAUGAGUGCUAAGUGUUAGGGGGUUUCCGCCCCUUAGUGCUGCAGCUAACGCAUUAAGCACUCCGCCUGGGGAGUACGACCGCAAGGUUGAAACUCAAAGGAAUUGACGGGGACCCGCACAAGCGGUGGAGCAUGUGGUUUAAUUCGAAGCAACGCGAAGAACCUUACCAAAUCUUGACAUCCUU